rnacentral:rRNA from 1 species
UACGUAGGGGGCUAGCGUUGUCCGGAAUCAUUGGGCGUAAAGCGCGCGUAGGCGGCCCGGUAAGUCCGCUCUGAAAGUCCAGGGCUCAACCCUGGAAAGCGGGUGGAUACUGCCGGGCUAGAAUCCGGAAGAGGCGAGUGGAAUUCCUGGUGUAGCGGUGAAAUGCGCAGAUAUCAGGAAGAACACCCGUGGCUAAGGCGGCUCUCUAGUACGGUACUGACGCUGAGACGCGAAAGCGUGGGGAGCGAACAGG